UACGUAGGGGGCUAGCGUUGUCCGGAAUUAUUGGGCGUAAAGAGCGUGUAGGCGGUUCGAUAAGUCUGCUGUAAAAGUCGGGGGCUCAACCCUCGAAAGCCGGUAGAUACUGUCGAGCUAGAGUACGGAAGAGGCGAGUGGAAUUCCUGGUGUAGCGGUGAAAUGCGCAGAUAUCAGGAGGAACACCGGUGGCGAAGGCGGAUCUCUGGGCCUUACCUGACGCUGAGGCGCGAAAGCUAGGGGAGCAAACAGG
rnacentral:rRNA from 1 species